GUGGAGGAAGAGCCUUUAGUGACGAAAAUGAAGUGAUGCCUUUAAAAGAGUGAGAGACUCAGCAGCUCAAACCGGAGAUCCAGACGGAGAGAGGAGCAUUCAGAGCUUCAGGCGCCUGCAGAGAAGAUGGAGAUGAAGAUGAGCUGUGUGUGUUUGGUGCUGGGGCUGGUCCUGCUGAUGACCGUCUCCUCAGAUGCUCAGCCUCUUGCCGUUUCCCAGGGCCAUCCUGACUUGUGCUGUUUCAACUUCGCCACUAGUGACAUUCCAGAUACGGAAAUAACAGGCAUUGUGAAAACACAUCACAACUGCCCAAAGUCCGGCUACGUGUUUACAACACCGAACGGCAGAUUCUGCAAGAAGGACCUGCAGUCCAGCCACAGCAAACAGAGCAGCUAAAAGCUUUACACGCCCAUUUAAUCAUCACAGGAUUUUAUCGACCAGCGCUUUGCUUUAUCAGUAUUAUCAGUGAUCUGUUUAACUCUGUGGAAAUAAAAGUCUAGACACAAUAUUUUGCUUCUUUUCAGUGUUAUUAAUGCUUAUUUUAUGCUGUGGAUUCAAAUAAAACUCUGUCUUGAGC
ensembl:lncRNA